rnacentral:rRNA from 1 species
GACGAACGCUGGCGGCGUGCCUAACACAUGCAAGUCGAACGGAGAUAUGAUUUCGGUUGUAUCUUAGUGGCGAACGGGUGAGUAACGCGUGAGCAACCUGACCCUUCAGAGGGGGAUAACACCCGGAAACGAGUGCUAAUACCGCAUAAGACCACACCGUGACAUCGCGGAGAGGUCAAAGGAGCAAUCCGCUGAGGGAGGGGCUCGCGUCCCAUUAGAUAGAUGGCGGGGUAACGGCCCACCAUGUCGACGAUGGGUAGCCGAGCUGAGAGGCUGAUCGGCCACACUGGAACUGAGACACGGUCCAGACUCCUACGGGAGGCAGCAGUGGGGAAUAUUGGGCAAUGGGCGAAAGCCUGACCCAGCAACGCCGCGUGAGGGAAGAA